GAAAAAAAGGAAUUUAAAGCUGCGAUCUCGUGGGAGCUGGCCCUUCAUUUCCUCGGUGUAUGGCACGUCCACACCUAUCUCGGUACUCCCCCCCCCCUGAAUGUAUUUUGAUGUAACGCAUCUAAUACUAAGUUUCAACAACGGAUCUCUUGGCUCUCGCAUCGAUGAAAAACGCACCGAAAUGCGAUAAGUAAUGUGAAUUGCAGAAUUCAGUGAAUCAUCGAAUCUUUGAACGCACCUUGCGCUCCUUGGUAUUCCUUGGAGCAUGCCUGUUUGAGUAUCAUGAAAUCUUCAAAGUUAAAAUCUUUUGUUAACUCAAUUGGUUUCUACUUUGGUAUUGGAGGUCUUUGCAGCUUCACACCUGCUCCUCUUUGUUCAUUAUCUGGAUCUCAGUGUUAUGCUUGGUUCCACUCGGCGUGAUAAGUUAUCUAUCGCUGAGGACACUGUAAAAAGUGGCCAAGGUAAAUGCAGAUGAACCGCUUCUAAUAGUCCAUUGACUUGGACAAUACUUUUAUGAUCUGAUCUCAAAUCAGGUAGGCCCUUGUGAUACAUCUAGUAGGACUUUAUAGUACUCCUUACUGACUACUUAAACCAUCAUCAACUCAAUAUAUUUUGAACUGAGUGUCUUUUAAUGUCACACAUCAAAGACAAAAUUUCAGCAAAUUAUCUAUUGCGCUCUCAUCAUCGAUAACUAACAAAGCACAUAUGCGCACCACCAAUAGUUCAAUUGCAGAAUUCCUGGAAUAAUCGCAUCUUUGACCGCACCUUCCGCUCCUUGGUGAUUACUUGGAGCAUGCCUGUUUGACCAUCACGAAAGCUUCAAACUUCAAAUUUUUUGUUCAUUCAAAUGAUUCCUAUUUUGACAGUGAAGGACUUUGCACCUUCCC
rnacentral:sRNA from 1 species